rnacentral:RNase_P_RNA from 1 species
GAAGUUGACCAAACAGUCGCUGUUUAAUUUGUAAAAAUUAAAAAGAGGAAAGUCCGGGCUCCAUAGAGCAAGGUGCCAGAUAACAUCUGGAAAGCGUAAGCUUAUGACUAGUGCAACAGAAAAAAAACCACCUAUUUUUUUAAUAAAAAUAUGGCCAGGGUGAAAAGGCGUGGUAAGAGCACACCGCAUAAUUGGCAACAAUUCAUGGCAUGGUAAACUCCACCUGGAGCAAAGCCAAAUAUAGGUUCAAUUUAUUCCGUAUUGCUCGUACUUUAUAGACCUGGGUAGGCUGCUUGAAUUAGUAAGUGAUUACUAAUCUAGAUGAAUGACUGUUGAAACAGAACCCGGCUUACAGGUCAACUUCACUA